rnacentral:rRNA from 1 species
GAUGAACGCUGGCUACAGGCUUAACACAUGCAAGUCGAGGGGAAACGACGGGGAAGCUUGCUUCCCCGGGCGUCGACCGGCGCACGGGUGAGUAACGCGUAUCCAACCUGCCUCUGACUGAGGGAUAACCCGUCGAAAGUCGGCCUAAUACCUCAUGGCAUCGUCUGCGGGCAUCCAACGACGAUUAAAGAUUUCAUCGGUCAGGGAUGGGGAUGCGUCUGAUUAGCUUGUUGGCGGGGUAACGGCCCACCAAGGCUACGAUCAGUAGGGGUUCUGAGAGGAAGGUCCCCCACAUUGGAACUGAGACACGGUCCAAACUCCUACGGGAGGCAGCAGUGAGGAAUAUUGGUCAAUGGGCGGGAGCCUGAACCAGCCAAGUAGCGUGCAGGAUGACGGCCCUAUGGGUUGUAAACUGCUUUUAUGCGGGGAUAAAGUGAGGGACGUGUCCUCCAUUGCAGGUACCGCAUGAAUAAGGACCGGCUAAUUCCGUG